ACGCGGCCCCGCGUGAUUUUCAGCCGUUACAAAGGAGUUAACGUUAAUCGGCGUCCGUUCAUACAGUCUGCCGCCGCCGCCGCCGCCACCGUUUGUUCUGUUAACCGGCAAAGUGCUUAUGGAUGACAGCAUACGAGAGCGACGACAGAAAAGGCUACUGAUUUAAGAGAUGAGUUAGCGUUCGGGGCCCGAUCCGGGUACUUUGCCGAGCGGGAACCAAGGAUUCAAAAUGGACGCGCAGUCGGGAGAUCCUCCAUGUGUUAAACCCCCAGACCUUGCUAUCCUGAGGCACAGAGUCAGAAGCUCCUAUUCUCGGUCGUCUGAUGAAGAUGUGGGAUGACAGCCACCUCUCGCUCUUUUUCGGCUGACCCGCUCACACAGAAUGAGGAGAAACAGAGGAGGACGUUAAGAUGUUGCUGUUUUACGCCAGUAGAACAGAUUUCCGUUGGCGUUUCUGCUUUAUUUGACAUCAACAGCAGAGAGAGACAGGAAAGACAGGGCAGAGAGAGAUGCAGCAAAAGGGCCGGGCUGGA